ACCUAAUGGAGGGAUUAGUAGGAAAAUGAAGCUGUGUUUGCUGAACUAUACACUAAUAGAUGAAGAGUUGUUUAAGAAACGCUCUAAUGGUGUAUUGCUAAAGUGUGUAAGUUUGCAAGAAGCCAGGACGAUCAUGGCUAAGGUGCACGAAGGGAUAUGUGGAGCUCAUCAAGCUGGCCAAAGGAUGAGAUGGUUAAUUAUUAGGAGUGGAUAUUUUUGGCCAAAGAUGGGAGAAU
rnacentral:lncRNA from 1 species